UACAGAGGAGCCAAGCGUUGUCCGGAUUGACUGGGCGUAAAGCGCACGCAGGCGGACGCGCGCGUGGGGUGUGAAAUCUGGCCGCUUAACGGCCAGGCGCCAUCCCAUACGGCGCGUCUGGAGCCUUGCAGAGGUCGGUGGAAUUGCCGGUGUAGUGGUGAAAUGCGUAGAGAUCGGCAGGAACACCCAGGGGGAACCCAGCCGACUGGGCAAGUGCUGACGCUGAGGUGCGAGAGCGUGGGGAGCGAACCGG
rnacentral:rRNA from 1 species